CAGGCUUAACACAUGCAAGUCGAGGGGCAGCAUGGUCUUAGCUUGCUAAGGCCGAUGGCGACCGGCGCACGGGUGAGUAACACGUAUCCAACCUGCCGUCUACUCUUGGACAGCCUUCUGAAAGGAAGAUUAAUACAAGAUGGCAUCAUGAGUCCGCAUGUUCACAUGAUUAAAGGUAUUCCGGUAGACGAUGGGGAUGCGUUCCAUUAGAUAGUAGGCGGGGUAACGGCCCACCUAGUCUUCGAUGGAUAGGGGUUCUGAGAGGAAGGUCCCCCACAUUGGAACUGAGACACGGUCCAAACUCCUACGGGAGGCAGCAGUGAGGAAUAUUGGUCAAUGGGCGAGAGCCUGAACCAGCCAAGUAGCGUGAAGGAUGACUGCCCUAUGGGUUGUAAACUUCUUUUAUAAAGGAAUAAAGUCGGGUAUGGAUACCCGUUUGCAUGUACUUUAUGAAUAAGGAUCGGCUAACUCCGUGCCAGCAGCCGCGGUAAUACGGAGGAUCCGAGCGUUAUCCGGAUUUAUUGGGUUUAAAGGGAGCGUAGAUGGAUGUUUAAGUCAGUUGUGAAAGUUUGCGGCUCAACCGUAAAAUUGCAGUUGAUACUGGAUAUCUUGAGUGCAGUUGAGGCAGGCGGAAUUCGUGGUGUAGCGGUGAAAUGCUUAGAUAUCACGAAGAACUCCGAUUGCGAAGGCAGCCUGCUAAGCUGCAACUGACAUUGAGGCUCGAAAGUGUGGGUAUCAAACAGGAUUAGAUACCCUGGUAGUCCACACGGUAAACGAUGAAUACUCGCUGUUUGCGAUAUACAGCAAGCGGCCAAGCGAAAGCGUUAAGUAUUCCACCUGGGGAGUACGCCGGCAACGGUGAAACUCAAAGGAAUUGACGGGGGCCCGCACAAGCGGAGGAACAUGUGGUUUAAUUCGAUGAUACGCGAGGAACCUUACCCGGGCUUAAAUUGCAGAUGAAUUACGGUGAAAGCCGUAAGCCGCAAGGCAUCUGUGAAGGUGCUGCAUGGUUGUCGUCAGCUCGUGCCGUGAGGUGUCGGCUUAAGUGCCAUAACGAGCGCAACCCUUGUUGUCAGUUACUAACAGGUUCCGCUGAGGACUCUGACAAGACUGCCAUCGUAAGAUGUGAGGAAGGUGGGGAUGACGUCAAAUCAGCACGGCCCUUACGUCCGGGGCUACACACGUGUUACAAUGGGGGGUACAGAGGGCCGCUACCACGCGAGUGGAUGCCAAUCCCCAAAACCUCUCUCAGUUCGGACUGGAGUCUGCAACCCGACUCCACGAAGCUGGAUUCGCUAGUAAUCGCGCAUCAGCCACGGCGCGGUGAAUACGUUCCCGGGCCUUGUACACACCGCCCGUCAAGCCAUGGGAGCCGGGGGUACCUGAAGUGCGUAACCGCGAGGAGCGCCCUAGGGUAAAACUGGUGACUGGGGCUAAGUCAUAACA
rnacentral:rRNA from 1 species